rnacentral:lncRNA from 1 species
CAUCUUGAUAGCUUGACAUGUUCACCUAUAUCCGUGCUCAUAAACUGCCUGCGUCGAUAGGGGAAAUCGUGACGGGGUCUGCUUCCAUGUAGGGUGGAGGUUUUCGGGAGGUUGACCAGAGGUAGUAGUUUAAAGGUUGCUUUGGAUGAGAUGCAUGAUGCGCUUGCUCGUUGGCUAGAACUACAACUAGAAGAUGAUAGGCUCUUGCUACCCUUAAUGGUGCUAUAUCUUAUAUAUCUGUGGAUGUGAUCUACCCUUAUUCAUGAUAUUAAUCUUUACAACAAGUUUGCCUUCAUAUGCAAUCAAUCUUCAUGUUAGGAUUGCUCCGUUAGAUUAGAUGGAAAACCCUAGUCAGUUCGCUGCCGAUCCACAGAUUAAUAAACCUUGGACGAAUACUCUAAGGGAAAAGCUACAAUGAUCCGUGCGCUUGCAGUUCACAAACUGGCAUGCUAACACCCGCCAACAGUGACAUGGAUAACUUUUCUGCUUGCUGACUAAGCCUUAUAAUACUUGCUCUUAGGGCAAGUACAUUGGUAUCAUCUAAUAAGAGGUAUCAUACAUUGAUACGUAAUCUUGAGAUGACUUAAUAGAUAACUCGUACAAUGGGUUAUCAUUUAAAUUGUCUAAUAGAGCUAUAUAAUUUCUUAAUUUACGUAUAUAAAAAAGAAAUAUAAUGAGUUGCAUGGCAACAACUCGUAUAAUGGUUGUGAAGUUAUCUUGUAACCCUAAAAUUUAGCUUAGGAGGUAAUUGUCUCACGAAACAACAACCUCUUUCUCUCACCUCACUCUUUUUUCUCCACAUUAUCAAAAAAUAUGGCAUUGCAUGAGACGAC